GAUGAACGCUGGCGGCGUGCCUAAUACAUGCAAGUCGAGCGAACAGACGAGGAGCUUGCUCCUCUGACGUUAGCGGCGGACGGGUGAGUAACACGUGGAUAACCUACCUAUAAGACUGGCAUAACUUCGGGAAACCGGAGCUAAUACCGGAUAAUAUAUUGAACUGCAUGGUUCAAUAGUGAAAGACGGUUUUGCUGUCACUUAUAGAUGAAUCCGCGCCGCAUUAGCUAGUUGGUAAGGUAACGGCUUACCAAGGCAACGAUGCGUAGCCGACCUGAGAGGGUGAUCGGCCACACUGGAACUGAGACACGGUCCAGACUCCUACGGGAGGCAGCAGUAGGGAAUCUUCCGCAAUGGGCGAAAGCCUGACGGAGCAACGCCGCGUGAGUGAUGAAGGUCUUCGGAUCGUAAAACUCUGUUAUUAGGGAAGAACAAAUGUGUAAGUAACUAUGCACGUCUUGACGGUACCUAAUCAGAAAGCCACGGCUAACUACGUG
rnacentral:rRNA from 1 species